rnacentral:rRNA from 1 species
UGCUUCAUGACUCAUCAUAUAAAGCAAAUCCUGCCCAGUGAGUAUUCUUCAACGGCCGCGGUAUCCUGACCGUGCAAAGGUAGCAUAAUAACUUGCCUAUUAAUUGUAGGCUUGAAUGAACGGACUAACGAAAUAAAUACUGUCUCUAUAAAUAAAAUAUAAACUUAUAUUUAAGUGAAGAAGCUUAAAUUAUUUUAAAGGACAAGAAGACCCUAUAGAGCUUUAAUUUAUAAAUUAACUUAAUUUUACAUUUAGAUUGGGGCAAUUAUGGUAAAAUUAACCAUUUAUAUAUAAGAUAAAUCAAUCAAUACAAUGAUCUCAAAUUGAAUUACCAAAUCAAGCUACCUUAGGGAUAACAGGCUAAUCUUAUUAUAGAGCUCUUAUCAACAAUAAGGAUUGGCACCUCGAUGUUGGCUUAGAAUAUCUUUAUGAUGCAGCAAUCAUAAAAAGAAAGUUUGUUCAACUUAUAAUAUUC